rnacentral:rRNA from 1 species
AUUGAACGCUGGCGGCAUGCCUUACACAUGCAAGUCGAACGGUAACGCGGGGCAACCUGGCGACGAGUGGCGAACGGGUGAGUAAUGUAUCGGAACGUGCCCAGUUGUGGGGGAUAACUGCUCGAAAGAGCAGCUAAUACCGCAUACGACCUGAGGGUGAAAGCGGGGGAUCGCAAGACCUCGCGCAAUUGGAGCGGCCGAUAUCAGAUUAGGUAGUUGGUGGGGUAAAGGCCUACCAAGCCUACGAUCUGUAGCUGGUCUGAGAGGACGACCAGCCAAACUGGGACUGAGACACGGCCCAGACUCCUACGGGAGGCAGCAGUGGGGAAUUUUGGACAAUGGGGGCAACCCUGAUCCAGCCAUGCCGCGUGCGGGAAGAAGGCCUUCGGGUUGUAAACCGCUUUUGUCAGGGAAGAAAUCCUUUGAACUAAUACUUCGGAGGGAUGACGGUACCUGAAGAAUAAGCACCGGCUAACUACGUGCCAGCCGCCGCCGUAAGAC